rnacentral:rRNA from 1 species
UGGGGGGAACCCUGACCGAGCAACGCCGCGUGAGUGAAGAAGGUUUUCGGAUCGUAAAGCUCUGUUGUUAAGGAAGAACGAGUGUGAGAAUGGAAAGUUCAUACUGUGACGGUACUUAACCAGAAAGGGACGGCUAACUACGUGCCAGCAGCCGCGGUAAUACGUAGGUCCCGAGCGUUGUCCGGAUUUAUUGGGCGUAAAGCGAGCGCAGGCGGUUAGAAAAGUCUGAAGUGAAAGGCAGUGGCUCAACCAUUGUAGGCUUUGGAAACUGUUUAACUUGAGUGCAGAAGGGGAGAGUGGAAUUCCAUGUGUAGCGGUGAAAUGCGUAGAUAUAUGGAGGAACACCGGUGGCGAAAGCGGCUCUCUGGUCUGUAACUGACGCUGAGGCUCGAAAGCGUGGGGAGCGAACAGGAUUAGAUACCCUGGUAGUCCACGCCGUAAACGAUGAGUGCUAGGUGUUAGGUCCUUUCCGGGACUUAGUGCCGCAGCUAACGCAUUAAGCACUCCGCCUGGGGAGUACGACCGCAAGGUUGAAACUCCAAGGAACUGACGGGAGCCCGCACAAGCGGUGGAGCAUGUGGUUUAAUUCGAAGCAACGCGAAGAACCUUACCAGGUCU